rnacentral:lncRNA from 1 species
AGUACCCAGUAUAAUCAUUCAUUGUUAUUAAGUGUGCUUUAUGUCUCAGGCAAUACACACAAAUCUCUCACAUGAAUUUGUUAUUUUGGCCCUCAGGGCAACUCUGUGGGAUAGGGGGAGGGUUAUUGUUGCUGUUUUACAGAUGGGGAAGCUGAGGCCCAGAGAAGUUAAGUAAGUUGUCUAAGUUCACAAAGUUACCAGAAGAUUGUGGAGUGGUCUUCCAGGGAGAGUUAUCUUGUAUCAGGAAGGAGAGAUGAUUACUUAGGAAAGCCCAAGAAACAACAGGUAUUUGAAAGCUAUAGCAGUUCAUCUGGGGUUGAUCUGGGAGCAUACAGCAAAAAAAGAGCUAAAAUGCAAGGCACCAACGUAGAAAAGCCCACCUGGUCUCUCUUCUUAGGGUGGCUCCUCUCUGUCUCUCUGCCUCUGCCUCUUGUCCUAGCCCAGCAUGGCCGCAGGUCCCAGGUUCUGUGACAUCACAGUGCAGUGCCCACAGCUCACUGUUGGUUCCUGCCAUUGAGAUUAUCUGAUUGGCCACUGGCCAGCCAAUGGUGGAUCAGACUUUGGAGCAGGUGAUCCUUGGACGCCCACAGUACAUCACCUUCAUGAGCGCAUCAGUGAACACCAGUCUAAGGAAGACAUCUCUGAACGUAAUUUUGGAGAUUUUGAUGAGUUCCAUUGAAACAAGGAGGAAUGUGAUGUCCAGUAUCAGUUCUGCAGACCCAAGGACAAAGAAAAUUCUGUGAUAAACUCAUCCAGUGUGACUGUAAUGAUACAAGACACCGGACUUUCAAAUCAACAAUUGUUUCAAAAGACUCCUACUGGAUUCCUGCUAGUGAUGGGAGAAAAUUAUCAUUCUGCUAGUUAAUCUGUAGCCAGAGAUGAUUAAGGAGGUCAUUAAAGGAAAACAAGCUGCCCACCAUGCUGAUGCCUGGUUGUUCAGAUCGUUGAGGUGGUGUAGAGAUGACGCACACUGGCUCAGUUUACCCACAUUUGGAUCUACGGACCUGCAAGUCCUCUGUCAUGACACACCAGCCCUGGGAUAUCACAUAAGCUACAGGUCAGACGCUGCUUUCCAGACAGAAUUAUGGAGAAGACAACCAUCAUUUUGGAGCUAUAGAUAGUGGAUUUCAAGAGAGUACCAAGGUUGCUACUCCAUAAUGGCCAGAAGAGCAAGCCAAAAACAUCAGAGUAAACACAGAAACCUCACAUCUC